rnacentral:rRNA from 1 species
UGGACCUCAACUCAGGCAAGACUACCUGCUGAACUUAAGCAUAUCAGUAAGCAGAGGAAAAGAAAACAACUGUGAUUCCCUUAGUAACUGCGAGUGAAGCGGGAUAAGCCCAUCGUUUAAUCUUCCCGGACUAUGGACGGGACGACGUGUAACGGUAUGGAUAGGUUCUCUAUCGACAAUGUCUGGUCAAAGUCCUCCGGAUUGAGGUGCCAGAGAAGGUGACAGCCCUGUGUGGGACUGGACAGCGUCGAGUAGGUGGCCGAUUCCGAGAGUCGGGUUGUUUGGGACUGCAACCUAAAGCAGGUGGUAAACUCCACCCAAGGCUAAAUAUUGACACGAAACCGAUAGCGAACAAGUACUGUGAAGGAAAGUUGAAAAGAACUCUGAAAAGAGAGUUAAAAGUACGUGAAACCGCUAACGGGGAAGCGGAAGGCAGUGUCGAGAUUGAGUGAGUGAGUUGUGUCAAGUURAUCUAAGAGUGGUAGAUUAUUUGGGGCRACUAGCUUUGCUUGAUGCGUCAGGACUAUCGGUGUGCGAYGGCUCAAUCGCAGGCAUGGCUUCCACGACACCAUGCACCUCACUUGUGGAGUGUGUGGCUCGUGGUUGCGGCAGGCGAUCCACCUCGUGUGCUGAUAUUGGAUGUGGUGAGGCGUUGGUGAUCAUUAAUUUUUAAUGUGUCGGUUGGUGCUGUGUGGUGCUCCGCGUAGUCACAGUGUGGCUACGUAAACGUAAGUGGUGGGAGAAACCGGGCGGCAGCUCAACAACCAGUGCCAGCUCCUGACGUGAUACCUAACCUUCCGACCCGUCUUGAAACACGGACCAAGGAGGCAGAAUCUAGAGCGAGUUGGRGGGUGGAAAACCCGACGGCGUAGUGAAAGCGAGAGAUGAGACUCUGGCGCUUCGGCGGUGGAGGCAUCAUCGGCCAGUCGCUCAUAAAUCAGCUCACUAAUAUUUAUAUUAGCAAGUUGAGGGUGACUGAGUUUGAGCUGUAGAUGCUGGACCCGAAAGAUGGUGAACUAUGCGUGAGCAGGGUGAAGCCAGAGGAAACUCUGGUGGAGGCUCGAAGCGAUUCUGACGUGCAAAUCGAUCGUUUGACUUGCGUAUAGGGGCGAUAGACUAAUCGAACCAUCUAGUAGCUGGUUCCCUUCGAAAUAUCCCUCAGGAUCGCUGAGACAAGUGGGAGACAGUUUCAUCGGGUAGAGCGAAUGAUUAGAGGAAUCGGGGAUAUAUUACUCUCGACCUAUUCUCAAACUUCCAACCGGUGAGGGAGGUAUUUACUUGAGUGAAAUGUGAAAUACCUCGUGGAAUGUCUUUGUCUCAAGUGGGCCAUUUUUGGUAAGCAGAACUGGCGAUGCGGGAUGAACCGAGAGUUGAGCUAAGGUGCCUAAGGACACGUUGAUAGAUACCACAAAAGGAGUCGGUCGAUAAAGACAGCAGGGCGGUGGCCCUGAAAGUAGGAAUCCGCUAAGGAAUUGUCUAAAAACUCACCUGCCGAAUCGACCGGCCCUGAAAAUGGAUGGCGCUGAAGCGUGUCACCGAUGCUCGACCUCUACCACGAGAAAUGUGUUUGGUAGGGGGUAGAAGGGCGCGGCGGUAGCGAUAAAGUGCAAAGUGUAAACUUGUAUGGAGCUGCCGUCGGUGUAGAUCUUGGUGGUAGUAGCAAUUAUAAAAGUGAAAACCUUUUAGGCCGAAGUGGAGAAGGGUUCCACGUGAACAGCAGUUGGACGUGGGUUAGUCGGUCCUAAGCGGUUGCCUAACGGUGGCGUACUAAAGCCAACUUGGUGUGUUUUUACGAGCAUGACUUGUUGGAAUCCGCGAAAGGGAAUCAGGUUAAUAUUCCUGAACCGGGCUACGGAGAUGCUACUUUUGGUUGGGGUGUUGCUUCGAAUUAAAUUUUUGUUAAAUUUAAAGUUUGCAUUUCAAUUGGCAAGAGUAGCUUAGCGGUAACGCAAACAAUCUCGGAGACGUUGACAUGUAUGGCGGAGAGAAUUAUCUUUUCUGUAUAACAGGCAAUGUGGUACCUUGGAAUCGAGUCGUUCGGAGAUAAGGUAAAAAGCCUGGAAGAGCACCGCAACUACUGCAGUGUCCGCAUUGUAUGUGUCGACCCUUGAAAAUCCGAGGGAGUGGAUAAAUUUCUAGCCCGUCCGUACCGAAUCCGCAUCAGGUCUCCUAGGUGAGCAGCCUCUGGCACUGGAACAAUGUAGGUAAGGGAAGUCGGCAAAAUAGAUCCGUAACUUUGGGAAAAGGAUUGGCUCUAAGGGCCGGGCCAAUGGAGCUGGUGUUGCCUAGGUUAGUGGGCGYGUGGUUGGCCCUUCACGGGCUUGUGGUUUAAUCGAUUGCAAGUGUGCGAGAGUGGAUUGCGCGAACGCUGACUGUGGAACGCCGGCGUGAGUUUCGGUGUGUUGAAACUCUGGUUGUUYCUCUUAUUAUAUUUCACGAUGUASUAAGAGAGAUGRCAAGGGCCAGCAUAUGGGGCUCUUUACGAUUGGCAAGCAUCGGYCAGCUUAGAACUGUUACCAACUUGGGGAAUCCGACUGUUUAAUUAAAACAAAGCAUUGCGAUGGCCUAAACAAGGUGUUGACGCAAUGUGAUUU